rnacentral:tRNA from 2 species
AGCUCAGCUGGAUAGAGCGCUGCCCUCCGAAGGCAGAGGCCAGAGGUUCGAAUCCUCUCGGGUGCACCA